CCUUCAACUAUUCCACAGGUAUUUAUUAGGCAUCUGUUUUGUGCCAGGUGCUUGUUAGGCAAUGGGGAUAAGAAAGGGGGUAGAAGAGCCCCCUUUCCUCCCAGAAAGCUGUAGUUGGGGAAACAGACAAAGACACAAGUAAGUAUGUAACAUUGUGUCAGCCAGGGACAGGGAGAAAGGAAGGACGAAUAACAACAUCAGGCAUAACCCCAAAUCACACGUGUCCUGGUAAAGGAUGGACCCCGUGGGGAGACAGGAAUAAAAACCCAUCCUGGAAGGCUGCCCGACACCCUUUUUGGGGAAGGAGGUGGGACCGGACGCCAGGCAGGCAGUGCUGGCCAAGGUCAGAUGGAGUUUGCCUGUGAAUCCUCCAAGAGGCUUGCCUGACGGCGCAGCGACCCCCACCUCAGCUCUCCAGCGAUGUCUGAGUUCCUGCUGCCGUGACCCGAGUACCAGGGAUUGUUCGACAAAUGGGGACCAGAUGGAUGAUCUUCCCGAUGGGACUCAGGAGGGAGCAUUAUCUCCAGGUCAUACAGACCUCCUAAAUCACCUCCACCUUCCUGUAGCCUGGCUGGAAAGUCUACCCCUGGGCAUUUUCUCUCGUUGGCUGAGCCCAGGGUUAAUUCCACACGUCCACAUUCAUUCUUGGGGGUUGUCUUUUCUGCAGGCCCCUUGCUUGAAAAUAGAAACACCCCUGGAAAGAAGUUCCAAAGUCAGAGCUCUUGGGUUGGGACAGAGUGUGGAUUCCCAUAUCUGCCACUUAGAAACUGGGUAAUCAGGCAAACCGUUUCCUCUCUCUGAGUCUCAGAUACCCACUGGGAUCAAUUGUCUUUAUAGGACCUCUCUCCUGCGGCUCUUAGAAAGAUCAGGUUCAUCAGUGGUUUGAAAAACUGCUUUAGAAGCUGUGAAGCUGUAUCAGUCAGAUGAGGUUAAGCCGUGUUGUAGUAACAAACCCAGAACUUUCAGUGGCUUAACACAUAAUUAUUUCUCUCUCAUACCGAGUUCUCUGGUUCCACCUUUUGGCUUCACUCUCUCAACUCCUGGCUUCCCAAGUCACCGCGACAGGGGUUUAAGGUCUGGAGAGCCCACACCAGCCUUUAAAUGCUUCGAACCUGAAAUGACACUCGUCACCUCCGCACCUAGCCCGUUGGUCAGAAUUAGGACAUGGCGAGGACCGCCGGCAAAGAGGCUGGGGAAUGUGGGGGAACGCGGGAAUACUUGGCGAGCUGUCGGUGUCUCGGCCACGACAGCAAGCUACGAUUAGGAGAGACUGUGAUUAUUAUUCGCCAGAGCAGUUUUUCUCUGUCUCUCGCUCAUUUUUACGGGGAGCCGGAGCAGAGACGGUCGAGCCGUGAAGUUGCAUCUGGGACAGGAUGGAGUGUCUGUAUGCUCAGGGCAAGAGGGAAGGGCCCAGAGAAAGGGGGUGCAGAUAUGGGGCGAGGGACGGCAGCCCCACUGGAUGCAUUCUCUGCUAGAUUUAAGUUGGUCCUGGACCCUGGAGAAUAAAGGCCUCCUGCCCAGCACCAGUCACCACAGUCUGCUGGCCCCUGCCGGGGUCUCACUGACACUCCCUGGGUCCCCGCCCAGGCCAGCCAGGACCCCUUAAUUCUCCAAUUAUCUGUGGCUAGAGACCGGCUUUGUUUCUCCGACCUCUGGUGGACUUCCGAAAGGCACGACUAGAGAAGUUGCCCAACCCAGAAAGUAGGCCCGCUGGAAUACUCUAGAAAAGAACCCAGUAAACAGACCAUCACUUGGAAGAUACUCUGGGAACAACAACAACAAAAAAAUCUAAAUAAGACGAUACAGAAAAGAAUCCAGAGGCUAAAGAAAUGAAUUUGCGACGCACGUUGGCAAACUCAGAUUAAAAAAAAAAAAAAAAGAC